AGAGAGCGGCGUACGGGUGCGUAACACGUGUGCAACCUGCCUUUAUCUGGGGAAUAGCCUUUCGAAAGGAAGAUUAAUACUCCAUAAUAUAUUGAAUGGCAUCGUUUAUUAUUGAAAACUCCGGUGGAUAGAGAUGGGCACGCGCAAGAUUAGAUAGUUGGUGAGGUAACGGCUCACCAAGACAAUGAUCUUUAGGGGUCCUGAGAGGGAGAUCCCCCACACUGGUACUGAGACACGGACCAGACUCCUACGGGAGGCAGCAGUGAGGAAUAUUGGACAAUGGGUGAGAGCCUGAUCCAGCCAUCCCGCGUGAAGGAUGACGGCCCUAUGGAUUGUAAACUUCUUUUGUANNGGAAUAAACCUACNNUCGUGAGGGUAGCUGAAGGUACUAUAUGAAUAAGCACCGGCUAACUCCGUGCCAGCAGCCGCGGUAAUACGGAGGGUGCAAGCGUUAUCCGGAUUUAUUGGGUUUAAAGGGUCCGUAGGCGGACCCAUAAGUCAGUGGUGAAAUCUCAUAGCUUAACUAUGAAACUGCCGUUGAUACUGUCGGUCUUGAG
rnacentral:rRNA from 1 species